GAUGAACGCUGGCGGCGUGCCUAAUACAUGCAAGUCGAGCGAACAGAUAACGAGCUUGCUCCUUUGACGUUAGCGGCGGACGGGUGAGUAACACGUGGGUAACCUACCUAUAAGACUGGGAUAACUUCGGGAAACCGGAGCUAAUACCGGAUAAUAUUUCGAACCGCAUGGUUCGAUAGUGGAAGAUGGUUUUGCUAUCACUUAUAGAUGGACCCGCGCCGUAUUAGCUAGUUGGUAAGGUAACGGCUUACCAAGGCGACGAUACGUAGCCGACCUGAGAGGGUGAUCGGCCACACUGGAACUGAGACACGGUCCAGACUCCUACGGGAGGCAGCAGUAGGGAAUCUUCCGCAAUGGGCGAAAGCCUGACGGAGCAACGCCGCGUGAGUGAUGAAGGUCUUCGGAUCGUAAAACUCUGUUAUUAGGGAAGAACAUACGUGUAAGUAACUGUGCACGUCUUGACGGUACCUAAUCAGAAAGCCACGGCUAACUACGUG
rnacentral:rRNA from 1 species